GCACUGACUGCUAUCGGAUUGAUACUAAGCCAUGCGAGUCAUUGUAGCAAUACAAGGCAGACGGCUCAGUAACGCGUAGUCAACCUAACCUAUGGACGGGAAUAACCUCGGGAAACUGAGAAUAAUGCCCGAUAGAACACUAUAUCUGGAAUGGUUUGUGUUCCAAAUGAUUUAUCGCCGUAGGAUGGGACUGCGGCCUAUCAGUUUGUUGGUGAGGUAAUGGCCCACCAAGACUAUUACAGGUACGGGCUCUGAGAGGAGUAGCCCGGAAGUGGGUACUGAGACACGGACCCAGGCCCUAUGGGGCGCAGCAGGCGAGAAAACUUUGCAAUGUGCGAAAGCACGACAAGGUUAAUCCGAGUGGUUUGUGCUAAACGAACCUUUUGUCGGUCCUAGAAACACCGAUGAAUAAGGGGUGGGCAAGUUCUGGUGUCAGCCGCCGCGGUAAAACCAGCACCUCAAGUGGACAGGGAUGAUUAUUGGGCCUAAAGCAUCCGUAGCCGGCGCUAUAAGUUUUCGGUUAAAUCUGUACGCUCAACGUACAGGCUGCCGGGAAUACUGUGGCGCUAGGGAGUGGGAGAGGUAGACGGUACUCGGUAGGAAGGGGGUAAAAUCCUU
rnacentral:rRNA from 1 species